AUUGAACGCUGGCGGCAGGCCUAACACAUGCAAGUCGGCGGAGGGCCGAACGGGUGGUUAAUGUUUGGGAACCUCCCUGUUGGAGGGGGAUAACUCCUGGAAACGUUGGCUAAUCCCGCAUACCUUCAGUUGACCCCAUAUGGGAUUAGCUUGUAGGUGGGGUAACGGCUCACCAAGGCGACGAUCCCUAGCUGGUCUGAGAGGAUGACCAGCCACACUGGGACUGAGACACGGCCCAGACUCCUACGGGAGGCAGCAGUGGGGAAUAUUGCACAAUGGGCGCAAGCCUGAUGCAGCCAUGCCGCGUGUAUGAAGAAGGCCUUCGGGUUGUAAAGUACUUUCAGUCGGGAGGCGUUACCGACAGAAGAAGCACCGGCUAACUCCGUGCCAGCAGCCGCGGUAAUUC
rnacentral:rRNA from 1 species